CAGAUUUGUACUCUCGCUUCUUCUUCGUCUUCUUCUUCGUCUUCUUCUUCUUCUUCUUCUUCUUCUUCUUCUUUGGAGUUUUACGGCAGCCAGCAUCCGUAAUGUUGCAUUGCUGCCACCCUCUGGGAUCAUUUCACUAUGCUCAUAUCUUCAUAUUAGAUCCUUUUCAUAAGCGCAGAGGCUCUAAAGAAGCCAAAAUCCUAUUUUAUUCCAAUUCCCCCUUUUGUCCCACAUCACCUGCAUUCAACGAGGACGUGUUCUACUGUUUCGGGUUGCUGGCUUGUCUUCGUCAAGUCCCGCACACUUGCUAAACCGGAAGUAAAAAUACAACCACACGUUCAUUUCCGCACCAAAAUGGAGGACGUGGGCGCGCGCGCGCGCGCGCAAUUACGAUCAGGUGACCCAGUGGCCUGCUGGCGGCAGAACGACGCUGUUGCGUUCACGGUCAAAUUGGAUGCGUUCACGGUCAAAUUGUUUGCUCGAACGUCUCACGCUUGCUCUUAAACUCAGACUCAAAAGUGUCUGAAAGUAAAAUAGGUCGAGCAGUACGUCGCUGUUGACUCCCCCACCUGUCGAUUCGCUUAGGAAAAGAAGGUUCAACCAAGUAUUUGUAACGAAAUUCACAAUUUAUUUAUUUAUUUUAUUUUUUUUUAAAGUUAGCCACCAAUCCGGAAACGUUGGUUAGCCCGGCUGACUAGCUAACAAGCUAGCUGAUCUGGGUGGGAAAAGCCAAAGGAGCUAGCAACCUGCUACUUGACCAAGCUAGCUUCAGACGGAGUCACAACACGACGACCCUCAUAAGACCUGCCCGGGGAAUAAGAUUGAGCUGAACUGAAGUGAAGAGGAUGAAGAGAGAGAAGAAUUAGUAAGCUUUAAAUAUUCCUCGUCUGUCUGAUUGUCGGAUUGUUUAAGAAGGAGGUGGAAGAAAAUGUCACCAUGCAGCAGGCCUGAGCACUUGUGUGAUGAAGAGGAAAUUUGUGCAUUUUAAAAUGCUAGGAAUAAACGCCAGAGUUGUCAAAACUGGAAACCAACACAAAAUCAACCAGAGGGCCAAGAGCAGGUUCCUCUCCCCCCGGUCCUCCAUUCCUGCAUCACCAGCAUCCAGCAUCAUUCUCAGAACCGCUGGGAGGUUAAGUUUGUAAAGAUUGUUAACUGUAGCGCUCAAAUGAACCAGACCGGACUCCUAAUGGCUCUUAUUGGAUCCUGCAUGGAGGGAAGAUCGGCCUCGACCGGAGCUACCACCAGCACAUCCCUCACCCACCGUGCCCCAUCGCCCCAUCGCGACAGCCAGGAGAGAGAAAACCUAAUAGAGAAAUGGAUGUCUUUUUAUUGAGCUUGUCCCGACAACCUGCGCAGUCCGACUCAUGGAUGCCCUCCAAGCGCAGGACAAAGCCGUCGUCGAGUGAACCAGGCGUGUGUCCACCGGACCUGAGGGGUGCCGCCACCGCUAAACAAAACGCACAAAGACCCCCUCGCCCCCCUCGCACUGGCCCUCACCCCAUCUACCCCGCUCUCCUCCUGCCCCUCCACCCGCACAAAAGCCGCCUUCUGCUUUGUGCCUGCUCCAAGAUGAGGAAGUUCCUCUCAUCUCUUUUUCAAGAAACAUUUUCAGAGAUGCCAGACAAAAAAAAGGAAAACUCAGCAUUGAGAGACGGAAGCAGAAGCGACAGAAACAGUCAGCGUGAGGUGGGGAUGACCUGAGAGGAAGAAGAGUUCUUCAGGUUGGAUGGAAGGCGGCCUUCUGUCACGAAACACUGUGUGUGCAGUGCAGGAAGAGGGAAGAGGCCUCGUGGACAAAUGGACAACUGACCGGCCCUGGCUGGAACGGCAGCUCGGGUAAUGAGCCGGGGAGCGUAAGAGCUGAACAAAGUGGGAAAUGGAAGGGGAGUCUGAAUGCUGGAAGCUUGUCUGGUGCAGAUAUUUCGUCAUUUGUUUACUUUUCCUUUUUCUUUCAAACUUAUUUUGAAUAAUAAUAUAUUUUCUUUGGGUGCUGUUUACAAGAGCCAACAUGGGCAAAAUGCCACCGAACCGUUGUUCAUCCGGUCACACUGCAGUUUAUGAUUUCCCACAUUUUUGUUAAAUACAACUUAUUUACUUCUGAAAUUUUCAGAAUAAUCAAACUUAAAUGUCUGUUUUACGAUUAAAACCUAUAAACAAUCGAUCGGUAGAUUUACUUGCCCAAGGUAAUUCAUUUUGUCCUUUCUAGAUGGCCUUAAUUUGGUCAAAUAAAUAAGUGGAAAAUAGAUGGAGAGGAAGAUUAAUAACAAAAUUGAAUGCAUUAUCACAUUACAUUACUAUGUGAGAUUAUUGUUCGGCAAAACAGAGUUGGGUGACCUCCGGACGUCUGGAUGAGGGAGGCGCUUGUUUAUGCAAUCAUCGGAGGGAACCUUUAUAGAUUGAGGGUUUUGAUCAAAGGAGGCCGCAUGUACAUGAGAAUGUACGCGUUCAUGAAGCCUGUUGGUAUUUUGUCCCGAGCUUUUUUAAAAAAAACCCCAUUUCCCUCAAUUAGGAGACACGGAUACACUCGGGCUCGACAGGGCGUCUUAUCUGAGAUGUUUUAUCUUGAUUUAUGCCGCAACGGGUGUAAAAUCUGAGUAACGAAAGAUAAAGUUAUCUGUCUGAGCAAUGUUACGUCUGUCAAAGCGAUUAUCACAGCUGUUAUCUAC